rnacentral:rRNA from 1 species
GACGAAGGGGGCGGGCGUUACCCAUGAUGACUGGGCGUAAAGGGUCCGUAGGCGGCUUUUUAUGUUAAAAAGUAAAAUCAAAAAGCUUUACUUUUUGAGGCUUUUAAUACGUUAGAGCUCGGAGUUUGAAGGAAGAUAGUAGAAUUUCAUAUGAAGGGGUGAAAUCCGUAGAAUUAUGAAGGAAUACUAAAGGCGAAGGCAACUAUCUAUUUCAAUCGACGUU